rnacentral:rRNA from 1 species
UACGGGGGGGGCAAGCGUUGUUCGGAAUUACUGGGCGUAAAGGGUUCGUAGGUGGCUUGCUAAGUCAGACGUGAAAUCCCUCGGCUUAACUGAGGAACUGCACGGGAUACUGCUUGACUUGAGUUCGGGAGAGGGAAGCGGAAUUCCGGGUGUAGCGGUGAAAUGCGUAGAUAUCCGGAGGAACACCGGUGGCGAAGGCGGCUUCCUGGACCGACACUGACGCUGAGGCGCGAAAGCUAGGGGAGCGAACGGG